rnacentral:tRNA from 1 species
UGGUUGAGUGGUAAAAUGCUUGGCUUCCGAACCGAGUGGUCCCAGGUUCGAAUCCUAG